AGAGUUUGAUCAUGGCUCAGGAUGAACGCUGGCGGCGUGCUUAACACAUGCAAGUCGAACGAUGAAGCUGGAGCUUGCUCCGGUGGAUUAGUGGCGAACGGGUGAGUAACACGUGAGCAAUCUGCCCUUGACUCUGGGAUAACUGCGGGAAACUGUAGCUAAUACCGGAUACGACGCCUUGGGGCAUCCCACGGGCGUGGAAAGAAUUUCGGUCAAGGAUGAGCUCGCGGCCUAUCAGCUAGUUGGUGAGGUAAUGGCUCACCAAGGCGACGACGGGUAGCCGGCCUGAGAGGGUGACCGGCCACACUGGGACUGAGACACGGCCCAGACUCCUACGGGAGGCAGCAGUGGGGAACAUUGCGCAAUGGGCGAAAGCCUGACGCAGCAACGCCGCGUGAGGGAUGAAGGCCUUCGGGUUGUAAACCUCUUUUAGCAGGGAAGAAGCGAAAGUGACGGUACCUGCAGAAAAAGCACCGGCUAACUACGUGCCAGCAGCCGCGGUAAUACGUAGGGUGCAAGCGUUAUCCGGAAUUAUUGGGCGUAAAGAGCUCGUAGGCGGUUUGUCGCGUCUGCUGUGAAAAUCUGAGGCUCAACCUCGGACUUGCAGUGGGUACGGGCAGACUAGAGUGCGGUAGGGGAGAAGGGAAUUCCUGGUGUAGCGGUGGAAUGCGCAGAUAUCAGGAGGAACACCAAUGGCGAAGGCACUUCUCUGGGCCGUAACUGACGCUGAGGAGCGAAAGCGUGGGGAGCGAACAGGAUUAGAUACCCUGGUAGUCCACGCCGUAAACGUUGGGCGCUAGAUGUGGGUCACAUUCCACGUGAUCCGUGUCGCAGCUAACGCAUUAAGCGCCCCGCCUGGGGAGUACGGCCGCAAGGCUAAAACUCAAAGGGAUUGACGGGGGCCCGCACAAGCGGCGGAGCAUG
rnacentral:rRNA from 1 species